GAUGAACGCUAGCGGCAGGCCUAAUACAUGCAAGUCGAACGGUGUCUUCGGACAUAGUGGCGCACGGGUGCGUAACACGUAUGCAACCUACCUUACAUUGGGGGAUAGCCUUUCGAAAGGGAGAUUAAUACCGCAUAAGACAGUAGCUGGGCAUCCAGCAGCUGUUAAAGAUUUAUCGAUGUAAGCUGGGCAUGCGUCCAAUUAGCUAGUUGGUGAGGUAACGGCUCACCAAGGCAAUGAUUGGUAGGGGAACUGAGAGGUCAAUCCCCCACACUGGCACGGAGAUACGGGCCAGACUCCUACGGGAGGCAGCAGUAGGGAAUAUUGGGCAAUGGACGCAAGUCUGACCCAGCCAUGCCGCGUGCAGGAUGAAGGCGUUAUGCGUUGUAAACUGCUUUUAUACAGGAAGAAACGACUCUUGCGAGAGGCAUUGACGGUACUGUAUGAAUAAGCACCGGCUAACUCCGUGCCAGCCGCCGCCUAAUAC
rnacentral:rRNA from 1 species